rnacentral:ncRNA from 2 species
AAAAACUUAAUAACGUUAGCUCAUAUAUCCCUUGAAUAUGGCAAGGAGUAUCUACCGGAAACCAAUAAUUUCUGACUAUGAGUAAAAUUGCAUUGUAC